ACUCAAAGGAAUAGACGGGGGCCCGCACAAGCGGCGGAGCAUGCGGAUUAAUUCGAUGCAACGCGAAGAACCUUACCAAGGCUUGACAUAUAGAGGAAACGUGCAGAAAUGUACGCCCCGCAAGGUCUCUAUACAGGUGGUGCAUGGUUGUCGUCAGCUCGUGUCGUGAGAUGUUGGGUUAAGUCCCGCAACGAGCGCAACCCUCGUCCUAUGUUGCCAGCACGUAAUGGUGGGAACUCAUGGGAGACUGCCGGGGUCAACUCGGAGGAAGGUGGGGAUGACGUCAAAUCAUCAUGCCCCUUAUGUCUUGGGCUUCACGCAUGCUACAAUGGCCGGUACAAAGGGCUGCGAUACCGUAAGGUGGAGCGAAUCCCAAAAAGCCGGUCUCAGUUCGGAUUGAGGUCUGCAACUCGACCUCAUGAAGUUGGAGUCGCUAGUAAUCGUGGAUCAGCAACGCCACGGUGAAUACGUUCCCGGGCCUUGUACACACCGCCCGU
rnacentral:rRNA from 1 species